rnacentral:rRNA from 1 species
UACAGAGGUGGCAAGCGUUGUUCGGAAUUACUGGGCGUAAAGGGCGCGUAGGCGGCCUUCUAAGUCAGACGUGAAAUCCCCCGGCUUAACCUGGGAACUGCGUCUGAUACUGGAGGGCUUGAGUGCGGGAGAGGGAUGUGGAAUUCCAGGUGUAGCGGUGAAAUGCGUAGAUAUUAGCAGGAACACCGGUGGCGAAGGCGGCUAUCUGGACGACAACUGACGCUGAGGCGCGAAAGCGUGGGGAUCAAACAGG